AUUGGUCUUAGGAACCAAAAACUCUUGGUGCAAAUCCAAGUAGCAGCU
rnacentral:tRNA from 1 species